AACGAACGCUGGCGGCAUGCCUAACACAUGCAAGUCGAACGAGACCUUCGGGUCUAGUGGCGCACGGGUGCGUAACGCGUGGGAACCUGCCCUUAGGUUCGGAAUAACUCCCCGAAAGGGGUGCUAAUACCGGAUAAUGUCUUCGGACCAAAGAUUUAUCGCCUUUGGAUGGGCCCGCGUUGGAUUAGCUAGUUGGUAGGGUAAAAGCCUACCAAGGCGACGAUCCAUAGCUGGUCUGAGAGGAUGAUCAGCCACACUGGGACUGAGACACGGCCCAGACUCCUACGGGAGGCAGCAGUGGGGAAUAUUGUACAAUGGGCGAAAGCCUGAUCCAGCAAUGCCGCGUGAGUGAUGAAGGCCUUAGGGUUGUAAAGCUCUUUUACCCGGGAUGAUAAUGACAGUACCGGGAGAAUAAGCGCCGGCUAACUCCGUG
rnacentral:rRNA from 1 species